ACUCCGGUGGCCUAAGUGGUUAGAGCGUCUGCCUCGGAUGCGGGAUAUCGCAGGUUCGAAUCCCGCCGAAUU